GUAGGUGGCAAGCGUUGUCCGGAAUUAUUGGGCGUAAAGCGCGCGCAGGCGGUUCUUUAAGUCUGAUGUGAAAGCCCACGGCUCAACCGUGGAGGGUCAUUGGAAACUGGAGAACUUGAGUACAGAAGAGGAAAGCGGAAUUCCACGUGUAGCGGUGAAAUGCGUAGAGAUGUGGAGGAACACCAGUGGCGAAGGCGGCUUUCUGGUCUGUAACUGACGCUGAGGCGCGAAAGCGUGGGGUAGCAAACAGGGAUUAGAUACCCUGGUAGUCCACGCCGUAAACGAUGAGUGCUAAGUGUUAGGGGGGUUUCCGCCCCCUUAGUGCUGCAGCUAACGCAUUAAGCACUCCGCCUGGGGAGUACGGCCGCAAGGCUG
rnacentral:rRNA from 1 species